rnacentral:rRNA from 1 species
AUUGAACGCUGGCGGCAGGCCUAACACAUGCAAGUCGGAUGGUAACAGGAAACAGCUUGCUGUUUCGCUGACGAGUGGCGGACGGGUGAGUAAUGUCUGGGAAACUGCCUGAUGGAGGGGGAUAACUACUGGAAACGGUAGCUAAUACCGCAUAACGUCGCAAGACCAAAGAGGGGGACCUUCGGGCCUCUUGCCAUCAGAUGUGCCCAGAUGGGAUUAGCUAGUAGGUGGGGUAACGGCUCACCUAGGCGACGAUCCCUAGCUGGUCUGAGAGGAUGACCAGCCACACUGGAACUGAGACACGGUCCAGACUCCUACGGGAGGCAGCAGUGGGGAAUAUUGCACAAUGGGCGCAAGCCUGAUGCAGCCAUGCCGCGUGUAUGAAGAAGGCCUUCGGGUUGUAAAGUACUUUCAGCGGGGAGGAAGGGAGUAAAGUUAAUACCUUUGCUCAUUGACGUUACCCGCAGAAGAAGCACCGGCUAACUCCGUG